UACGGAGGGUGCAAGCGUUAUCCGGAUUCACUGGGUUUAAAGGGUGCGUAGGUGGGUUGGUAAGUCAGUGGUGAAAUCUCCGAGCUUAACUUGGAAACUGCCAUUGAUACUAUCAGUCUUGAAUACCGUGGAGGUCAGCGGAAUAUGUCAUGUAGCGGUGAAAUGCUUAGAGAUGACAUAGAACACCAAUUGCGAAGGCAGCUGGCUACACGAAUAUUGACACUGAUGCACGAAAGCGUGGGGAUCAAACAGG
rnacentral:rRNA from 1 species